UUGAACGCUGGCGGCAUGCUUUACACAUGCAAGUCGAACGGCAGCGGGGGCUUCGGCCCGCCGGCGAGUGGCGAACGGGUGAGUAAUGCAUCGGAACGUACCCAGUCGUGGGGGAUAACUACGCGAAAGCGUAGCUAAUACCGCAUACGCCCUGAGGGGGAAAGCGGGGGACCUUCGGGCCUCGCGCGAUUGGAGCGGCUGAUGUCGGAUUAGCUAGUUGGUGAGGUAAAGGCUCACCAAGGCGACGAUCAGUAGCUGGUCUGAGAGGAUGAUCAGCCACACUGGAACUGAGACACGGUCCAGACUCCUACGGGAGGCAGCAGUGGGGAAUUUUGGACAAUGGGCGAAAGCCUGAUCCAGCCAUUCCGCGUGAGUGAAGAAGGCCUUCGGGUUGUAAAGCUCUUUCAGGAGGGAAGAAACGGUUGAGGCUAAUAUCCUUGACUAAUGACGGUACCUUCAGAAGAAGCACCGGCUAACUACGU
rnacentral:rRNA from 1 species